AAAAAAAAAACCCAACUUAUAUUUUGUUAAUGAUGUGAUCCAAAUUCUAUCAACCUUGCUUGUAGUUGCCAUUUGAUCUUUCUGGCCAAUCCUGUUCAUGGGAUUUCUUUCCCUCUAGAAAGUUUUUUCUAGAGCUUGCAUUAGCUUUCUGAGGGAAUCAUAGUACUCUUGUUGACAGUCCUUUUUUAUUUUUUAAUUUUCCUGUUCUGAUUAUAUGUAUGUGUGACCAGAAAGGUGCUGCACCUUAUUUUGG
rnacentral:misc_RNA from 1 species